GUGCUGAAAGCAUCUAAGCACGAAACUUGCCCCGAGAUGAGUUCUCCCUGACCCUUUAAGGGUCCUGAAGGAACGUUGAAGACAACGACGUUGAUAGGCCGGGUGUGUAAGCGCAGCGAUGCGUUGAGCUAACCGGUACUAAUGAACCGUGAGGCUUAACCUUAC
rnacentral:rRNA from 1 species